rnacentral:rRNA from 1 species
UCCAGACUCCUACGGGAGGCAGCAGUGGGGAAUAUUGGGCAAUGGGCGCAAGCCUGACCCAGCAACGCCGCGUGAAGGAAGAAGGCUCUCGGGUUGUAAACUUCUUUUAUCAGGGACGAAGCAAGUGACGGUACCUGAUGAAUAAGCCACGGCUAACUACGUGCCAGCAGCCGCGGUAAUACGUAGGGGGCAAGCGUUAUCCGGAUUUACUGGGUGUAAAGGGAGCGUAGACGGCAUGGCAAGUCAGAUGUGAAAGCCCGGGGCUCAACCCCGGGACUGCAUUUGAAACUGUUGGUCUUGAGUAUCGGAGAGGCAGGCGGAAUUCCUAGUGUAGCGGUGAAAUGCGUAGAUAUUAGGAGGAACACCAGUGGCGAAGGCGGCUUACUGGACUGUAACUGACGUUGAGGCUCGAAAGCGUGUGGAGCAAACAGGAUUAGAUACCCCCGUA